rnacentral:rRNA from 1 species
UNUUAAAAGUUCGGGGCUUAACCCCGUGAUGGGAUGGAAACUNCCAAUCUAGAGUAUCGGAGAGGAAAGUGGAAUUCCUAGUGUAGCGGUGAAAUGCGUAGAUAUUAGGAAGAACACCAGUGGCGAGGGCGACUUUCUGGACGAAAACUGACGCUGAGGCGCGAAAGCCAGGGGAGCGAACGGGAUUAGAUACCCCGGUAGUCCUGGCCGUAAACGAUGGGUACUAGGUGUAGGAGGUAUCGACCCCUUCUGUGCCGGAGUUAACGCAAUAAGUACCCCGCCUGGGGAGUACGACCGCAAGGUUGAAACUCAAAGGAAUUGACGGGGGCCCGCACAAGCGGUGGAGUAUGUGGUUUAAUUCGACGCAACGCGAAGAACCUUACCAGGUCUUGACAUUGAUGGACAGAACCAGAGAUGGUUCCUCUUCUUCGGAAGCCAGAAAACAGGUGGUGCACGGUUGUCGUCAGCUCGUGUCGUGAGAUGUUGGGUUAAGUCCCGCAACGAGCGCAGCCCCUAUCUUAUGUUGCCAGCACUUUGGGUGGGAACUCAUGAGAGACUGCCGCAGACAAUGCGGAGGAAGGCGGGGAUGACGUCAAAUCAUCAUGCCCCUUAUGACCUGGGCUACACACGUACUACAAUGGGAGUUAAUAGACGGAAGCGAGAUCGCGAGAUGGAGCAAACCCGAGAAACACUCUCUCAGUUCGGAUCGUAGGCUGCAACUCGCCUACGUGAAGUCGGAAUCGCUAGUAAUCGCAGGUCAGCAUACUGCGGUGAAUACGUUCCCGGGCCUUGUACACACCGCCCGUCACACCACGAAAGUCGGAAGUGCCCAAAGCCGGUGGGGUAACCUUCGGGAGCCANCC